rnacentral:rRNA from 1 species
ACGGGUGAGUAAUGCAUCGGAACGUGCCCAAUCGUGGGGGAUAACGCAGCGAAAGCUGUGCUAAUACCGCAUACGAUCUACGGAUGAAAGCAGGGGAUCGCAAGACCUUGCGCGAAUGGAGCGGCCGAUGGCAGAUUAGGUAGUUGGUGAGGUAAAGGCUCACCAAGCCUUCGAUCUGUAGCUGGUCUGAGAGGACGACCAGCCACACUGGGACUGAGACACGGCCCAGACUCCUACGGGAGGCAGCAGUGGGGAAUUUUGGACAAUGGGCGAAAGCCUGAUCCAGCCAUGCCGCGUGCAGGAUGAAGGCCUUCGGGUUGUAAACUGCUUUUGUACGGAACGAAACGGUCUUUUCUAAUAAAGAAGGCUAAUGACGGUACCGUAAGAAUAAGCACCGGCUAACUACGUGCCAGCAGCCGCGGUAAUACGUAGGGUGCAAGCGCUAAUCGGAAUUACUGGGCGUAAAGCGUGCGCAGGCGGUGAUGUAAGACAGUUGUGAAAUCCCCGGGCUCAACCUGGGAACUGCAUCUGUGACUGCAUCGCUGGAGUACGGCAGAGGGGGAUGGUAUUCCGCGUGUAGCAGU